rnacentral:rRNA from 1 species
AUUGAACGCUGGCGGCAGGCCUAACACAUGCCAGUCGAGCGGAUGAAGGGAGCUUGCUCCUGGAUUCAGCGGCGGACGGGUGAGUAAUGCCUAGGAAUCUGCCUGGUAGUGGGGGAUAACGUCCGGAAACGGGCGCUAAUACCGCAUACGUCCUGAGGGAGAAAGUGGGGGAUCUUCGGACCUCACGCUCUCAGAUGAGCCUAGGUCGGAUUAGCUAGUUGGUGGGGUAAAGGCCUACCAAGGCGACGAUCCGUAACUGGUCUGAGAGGAUGAUCAGUCACACUGGAAGUGAGACACGGUCCAGACUCCUACGGGAGGCAGCAGUGGGGAAUAUUGGACAAUGGGCGAAAGCCUGAUCCAGCCAUGCCGCGUGUGUGAAGAAGGUCUUCGGAUUGUAAAGCACUUUAAGUUGGGAGGAAGGGCAGUAAGUUAAUACCUUGCUGUUUUGACGGUACCAACAGAAUAAGCACCGGCUAACUUCGUG